GAACAUUCAUGUUUCCUCCACAUGCUACAGGGCCCUUCUCUGAAGAAGCCACUGGAUCUUGGUAAACAAACUGCUGGCUUGUAUAAGCUGACAUGGGCUCCUCCUUCAUCUUCCAUCUCUUCAACAAGUUCUGUUUGUUCUGCUUCUACUUCUUGUGAUACUAGCAAGCUUAUUGUUUUGUCUUCCAUGCAUAUUUCUUGUAAUGAUACAAUUCUGUCUGAUAAUAAAACUGUUUCAUCAUCCUUACAUGCAACUAGCCCCACUUGUAAUAAUGAUUUGAAUUCUGAUAUGAAUUACAUUUGGCACCUACGACU
rnacentral:lncRNA from 1 species